GAUGAACGCUGGCGGCGUGCCUAAUACAUGCAAGUCAAGCGAACGGACGAGAAGCUUGCUUCUCUGAUGUUAGCGGCGGACGGGUGAGUAACACGUGGAUAACCUACCUAUAAGACUGGGAUAACUUCGGGAAACCGGAGCUAAUACCGGAUGAUAUUUUGAACCGCAUAGUUCAAAAGUGAAAGACGGUCUUGCUGUCACUUAUAGAUGGAUCCGCGCUGCAUUAGCUAGUUGGUAAGGUAACGGCUUACCAAGGCAACGAUGCAUAGCCGACCUGAGAGGGUGAUCGGCCACACUGGAACUGAGACACGGUCCAGACUCCUACGGGAGGCAGCAGUAGGGAAUCUUCCGCAAUGGGCGAAAGCCUGACGGAGCAACGCCGCGUGAGUGAUGAAGGUCUUCGGAUCGUAAAACUCUGUUAUUAGGGAAGAACAUAUGUGUAAGUAACUGUGCACAUCUUGACGGUACCUAAUCAGAAAGACACGGCUAACUACGUG
rnacentral:rRNA from 1 species